CCUACGGGCGGCAGCAGUGGGGAAUAUUGGACAAUGGGGGCAACCCUGAUCCAGCCAUGCCGCGUGUGUGAAGAAGGCCCUCGGGUUGUAAAGCACUUUCAGUGAGGAAGAACGCCUGGUGGUUAAUACCCAUCAGGAAAGACAUCACUCACAGAAGAAGCACCGGCUAACUCCGUGCCAGCAGCCGCGGUAAUACGGAGGGUGCGAGCGUUAAUCGGAAUUACUGGGCGUAGAGCGCGCGUAGGUGGCUUGAUAAGCCGGUUGUGAAAGCCCCGGGCUCAACCUGGGAACGGCAUCCGGAACUGUCAAGCUAGAGUGCAGGAGAGGAAGGUAGAAUUCCCGGUGUAGCGGUGAAAUGCGUAGAGAUCGGGAGGAAUACCAGUGGCGAAGGCGGCCUUCUGGACUGACACUGACACUGAGGUGCGAAAGCGUGGGUAGCAAACAGGAUUAGAUACCCCUGUAGUC
rnacentral:rRNA from 1 species